GCGGGAGUGGUGAAAUUAGGCAGACACGCUAGGCUUAGAACCUAGUGGGGUUAAAACCCUUUGGAGGUUCGAGUCCUCUCUUCCGCACCA
rnacentral:tRNA from 1 species